rnacentral:rRNA from 1 species
AUGGUUGUCGUCAGCUCGUGUCGUGAGAUGUUGGGUUAAGUCCCGCAACGAGCGCAACCCUUACCUUCAGUAGCCAGCACGUAAUGGUGGGCACUCUGGAGGGACUGCCGGGGACAACCCGGAGGAAGGUGGGGAUGACGUCAAAUCAUCAUGCCCCUUAUGGCCUGGGCUACACACGUGCUACAAUGGCGUAAACAGAGGGAGGCAGCCCCGCGAGGGUGAGCAAACCCCAAAAAUAACGUCCCAGUUCGGAUUGCAGUCUGCAACUCGACUGCAUGAAGCUGGAAUCGCUAGUAAUCGCGGAUCAGAAUGCCGCGGUGAAUACGUUCCCGGGUCUUGUACACACCGCCCGUCACACCAUGGGAGUUGGUAACGCCCGAAGUCAGUGACCUAACCGAAAGGGAGGAGCUGCCGAAGGUGGGACCAGUGACUGGGGUGAAGUCGUAACAAGGUAGCCGUAUCGGAAGGUGCGGUUGGAUCACCUC